GUGCUCCCUUCGGCAACACAUAUACUAAAAUUGGAGAAGAUUAGCAUUGCCCCCGCGCAAGGAUGACAUGCAAAUUCAUGAAGUGUUCUAUAUUUUU
rnacentral:snRNA from 1 species